rnacentral:SRP_RNA from 2 species
GCUGGGCGUGGUGGCGGGCGCCUGUAAUCCCAGCUACUCAGGAGGCUGAGGUAGGAGAAUUGCUUGACCCCAGGAGGCGGAGGUUGCAGUGAGCUGAGAUCACGCCACUGCACUUCAGCCUGGGCGACAGAGCAAGACUCUGUCUCAA